UGCCAGCAGCCGCGGUAAUACGGAGGGUGCGAGCGUUAAUCGGAAUUACUGGGCGUAAAGCGCACGCAGGCGGUUUGUUAAGCUAGAUGUGAAAGCCCCGGGCUCAACCUGGGAUGGUCAUUUAGAACUGGCAGACUAGAGUCUUGGAGAGGGGAGUGGAAUUCCAGGUGUAGCGGUGAAAUGCGUAGAUAUAUGGAAGAACACCGGUGGCGAAGGCGGUCUUCUAGCUUAUUCCUGACGCUGAGACGCGAAAGCGUGGGGAGCAAACAGGAUUAGAUA
rnacentral:rRNA from 1 species